rnacentral:rRNA from 1 species
UGGGGAAUAUUGGACAAUGGGCGCAAGCCUGAUCCAGCCAUGCCGCGUGAGUGAAGAAGGCCUUAGGGUUGUAAAACUCUUUCGCCGGGGAAGAUAAUGACGGUACCCGGAGAAGAAGCUCCGGCUAACUUCGUGUCAGCAGCCGCGGUAAUACGAAGGGAGCUAGCGUUGUUCGGAAUUACUGGGCGUAAAGCGCACGUAGGCGGACUUGUCAGUCAGGGGUGAAAUCCCAAGGCUCAACCUUGGAACUGCCUCCGAUACAGCAAGCCUAGAGAUCGGGAGAGGUGAGUGGAAUUCCUAGUGUAGAGGUGAAAUUCGUAGAUAUUAGGAAGAACACCAGUGGCGAAGGCGGCUCACUGGCCCGAUACUGACGCUGAGGUGCGAAAGCGUGGGGAGCAAACAGGAUUAGAUACCCCCGUAGUCCCUGAGCGGGCUGGCAAGGCGCAU